GUGGGGAAUCUUGCGCAAUGGGCGAAAGCCUGACGCAGCCAUGCCGCGUGAAUGAUGAAGGUCUUAGGAUUGUAAAAUUCUUUCACCGGGGACGAUAAUGACGGUACCCGGAGAAGAAGCUCCGGCUAACUUCGUGCCAGCAGCCGCUGUAAUACGAAGGGGGCUAGCGUUGCUCGGAAUUACUGGGCGUAAAGGGCGCGUAGGCGGACAGCUUAGUCAGAGGUGAAAGCCCAGGGCUCAACCUUGGAAUUGCCUUUGAUACUGGCUGUCUUGAGUUUGGGAGAGGUGAGUGGAACUCCGAGUGUAGAGGUGAAAUUCGUAGAUAUUCGGAAGAACACCAGUGGCGAAGGCGACUCACUGGCCCAAUACUGACGCUGAGGCGCGAAAGCGUGGGGAGCAAACAGGAUUAGAUACCCUGGUAGUCC
rnacentral:rRNA from 1 species